GGCGACGUGGCCGAGUGGUUAGGCAGAGGCCUGCAAAGCCUUGCACCCCGGUUCGAUUCCGGGCGUCGCCU
rnacentral:tRNA from 1 species